AGCGAACGCUGGCGGCAGGCUUAACACAUGCAAGUCGAGCGGGCAUCCUUGUGGUGUCAGCGGCAGACGGGUGAGUAACGCGUGGGAACGUGCCCUUCGGUUCGUAAUAACUCAGGGAAACUUGAGCUAAUACCGGAUACGUGCGAGAGCAGAAAGGUUUAUCUGCCGAAGGAUCGGCCCGCGUCUGAUUAGCUAGUUGGUGAGGUUAUGGCUCACCAAGGCGACGAUCAGUAGCUGGUCUGAGAGGAUGAUCAGCCACACUGGGACUGAGACACGGCCCAGACUCCUACGGGAGGCAGCAGUGGGGAAUAUUGGACAAUGGGGGCAACCCUGAUCCAGCCAUGCCGCGUGAGUGAUGACGGCCUUAGGGUUGUAAAGCUCUUUUAUCCGGGACGAUAAUGACGGUACCGGAGGAAUAAGCCCCGGCUAACUUCGUG
rnacentral:rRNA from 1 species